AUUGAUUUAGAACUAAAAUGAAAAUUAAAUAAUAUAUGCAAUUGAGUUAAUAUAUUCACAACAGGCAGAUUUCACUUCUUGUCUCAUUGGUUGAAAUUUUGAGACACGCAGAGGCAAGUUCUUUCCAUUGCAGUUACCCUCUCUAGCAGACUUACACCUAGACAGUGGAGGACAUACAGAUUUAUCAGCCAAUCCACAUUGAGAACUGUGAGACUCGUGAUAGACUACACACUUGGUAUAAAAGCCUUGUCUCGUCGACAUCUUUGAUCUUCACGCUUUGGGAUCUCUGCAUAACUAAGAGAAACUCUCUCUCUCUCUCUCCCUUCUUGUUGUUUGCUCUAAAUUUCGAGUGAAGGCACAAGCUCUGAGUAUGAGGGAAAUGCUCAAAAUUUCACGCUUUUAGACACCAGAACCCUCAUUGAAUAGAGGGAGGCCGCCAGAUCGUCAACAAAAUUUGGUGAAAGCUCACGAUGCAUAGGAUUUUUUGGAUCUAUAAGUGGAUCACGACCCCAAGCCGAGAUGAAACAUUAUCUUGGUGGAGUUUCUUUGAUUACUUGGGGCAUUAAAUGAUGUCACAUGGGUUGUUGCUAGGCAACAAUUGGCUCGGCCGAGAUGGUAAUGCUCUCGGGUCAAAGUCUUGGUCUCUCAACUGACAGGGGCUAGAAGGCGCCAUGAUCAAGUACGAAGUGUGAAGUUAUUUGCAGUGUAGCAAAGAGAGCUAGGAUGUACGUAAGACCAUGAGAAAGGAGAGAUCGUAGCAUGCAUGUUAAUAAAUGGAAAUGGUUGAUGAUAUGGAUUUCAUGUUAUUGAAUGGACCUAAGUCCAACGUUGAUGGUUUUCAUGAUGAGUUUGGACUUGGGGUCCGAAAAAUGUUAUGAGAUACUUUGGACAUUGGGUGCUCUGAAAUUACUAUGGUGAUUUAUGUUUACUUUAAUUGCUCAGAGACGGGAGCCUCGGUGUGUAUAUCAUUUCUUCGAUUUUAUUUGAAAUUCAUUACUUCAUAUUCA